AUGAAUUUAAUUUAAAAAAAUGUUACGUUAGAUGACCGAAUUCUCGGUUCGAUCAAUUAUAAACGGUUGUACUUUUAUAUAUCCGACUAGAAUGAAAGACAGAGAGCGCCAGUAGCUUAUAAUCGAUCAACUAAUGAACGAAAAAACUAUAAACGGGUUCGGUAGCUUGGGCAUUGCGGUUCCCACGUAAAGCAGACUAAUGUAAUACAUCUUUUUCGCUCGCUCGUUCGUUUGUUCGAAAAGAAAUUAAUAUUUGAUUCCCAGCAACGUUCAUUUAUCGCAUCGCAAUCCGUUAAAAUGUGUAUGGACAUUGAUAUACGUAUACUUUAGGUUAACAGCGGGUGAUAAGAGCGCCACCAGGUGGUGAGUUGUGGAAACAGGAACGAAUGUAGUAUGCGUGCGCAAAAAGAUGUAUACGGAUUUGCGGAGAUCGUACGGAAGUUACGACGACGUAGUGACCGGUGUGUGUGGCGACCUCCAUCGACACGAACAAGAUAGGAUAGAGUGUAGGGUAGGGCACAACAUAAAGGUAGGG
rnacentral:lncRNA from 1 species